rnacentral:rRNA from 1 species
CCUACGGGGCGCAGCAGUGAGGAAUAUUGGUCAAUGGGCGUACGCCUGAACCAGCCAAGUCGCGUGAGGGAAGACUGUCCUAUGGGUUGUAAACCUCUUUUGUCAGGGAGCAACGCCGGCUACGUGUAGCCGGACUGAGAGUACCUGAAGAAAAAGCAUCGGCUAACUCCGUGCCAGCAGCCGCGGUAAUACGGAGGAUGCGAGAGUUAUACGGAUUUAUUGGGUUUAAAGGGUGCGUAGGCGGAAUGCCAAGUCAGCGGUAAAAUCGCGGGGCUCAACCUCGCUCCGCCGUUGAAACUGGCGGUCUUGAGUGGGCGAGAAGUAUGCGGAAUGCGUGGUGUAGCGGUGAAAUGCAUAGAUAUCACGCAGAACUCCGAUUGCGAAGGCAGCAUACCGGCGCCCAACUGACGCUGAGGCACGAAAGCGUGGGUAUCGAACAGGAUUAGAUACCCCUGUAGUC